rnacentral:lncRNA from 1 species
UCGAACUCCUUUCUAUGUCUUAGAUUGCAUUUAAUCUCAUCUCUUCAUAUUGCAUUGUAGGAUUGCAUAGUAGCUCCAUUCCUUAUGCUUUCUAAUUGAUGAUCUAGUGUAUUUGGAACGCUUGGUAACUAGAUAGGUGAGGAUUGGGUCGGAAGGUGAAUCUAUGAUGCGAAAGCUAGAGAUGAACCCGAUGGGGGUGUUGAUGACAUAGAAAGUAGUGUUAUUGUUAAAGAACAAACGAGUGGCAUCCAAACAUUGAAUGAUAACGAGUGGUAUUAAUGUAGUGUAAAUAACAUUAGAGGGCGAUGGACCUAGGGAUAGGU